rnacentral:rRNA from 1 species
UACGGAGGGUGCGAGCGUUGUCCGGAAUCAUUGGGCGUAAAGAGCGUGUAGGCGGCCCGAUAAGUCCGCUGUGAAAGUCCAGGGCUCAACCCUGGAAUGCCGGUGGAUACUGUCAGGCUAGAGUCCGGAAGGGGCGAGCGGAAUUCCUGGUGUAGCGGUGAAAUGCGCAGAUAUCAGGAGGAACACCAAUGGCGAAGGCAGCUCGCUGGGACGGUACUGACGCUGAGACGCGAAAGCGUGGGGAGCAAACAGG